GAAUAAUAGGGUAUGAUCCCGGCCCAGAAUGAAUGCUUGCGACAAGCCUAAUACAUGCAAGUCGAACGCACUAAAUAGAUGAACUUUAAAGUCAUCUAAUGGUGAGUGGCGAACGGGUGAGUAACGCGUAAGAAUCUACCUUCUACAUAGCCAUAAAUAGGUAAAGGCCAAGUCCGGUAGGAGAUGAGCUUGCGUAAGAUUAGGUAGUUGGUGAGGUAAAGGCUCACCAAGCCAAAGAUCUUUAGCUGGUCUGAGAGGUUGAUCAGCCACACUGGGACUGAGACACGGCCCAGACUCAAUGAUAGAGGCAGCAGUAGGGAAUCUUAGACAAUGAGCGAAAGCUUGAUCUAGCUAUGUCGCGUGGGUGAAGGAAACCUUCGGGUAGUAAAACCCUUUAGUUGGAUAAAAGAUUAUGACUGAAUCCAACCAAAAAGUCCCGGCUAACUUCGUGCCAGCAGCCGCGGUAAAACGGAGGGGACAAGUGUUAUUCGGAAUGACUGGGCGUAAAGGGUCCGCAGGCGGACUUAUAAGUUCAAAGAGCCAUCCCAGAGAACUCCUUUGGUUUAUCUUUGAUAAGUAUAGGUCUUGAGUCAGAUAGAGGAAAGUGGAAUGUCAUGUGUAGGGAUUAAAUUCGCGAAGAUGUGAUGGAAGGCCGAAAGCGAAGGCAACUUUCUGGGUCUCGACUGACGCUAAUGGACGAAAGCGUGGGGAGCAACAGGGAUUAGAUACCCCUUUAGUCCACGCCGUAAACGAUGAGUGUUCACUUUGGGUCUUAAUGAUCCGAGGUCUAGCUAACGCGUUAAACACUCCGCCUGGGGAGUACGGUCGCAAGGCUGAAACUCAAGGGAAUUGACGGGGGCUCGCACAAGUGGUGGAUCAUCUUGUUUAAUUCGAUAAUACGCGCAAAACCUUACCAACCCUUGACAUCUUUUUUUUCUUUCCCUUAAGAGGGGAUUGAUCUAAUAAAAGACAGGUGCUGCAUGGCUGUCGGCAGUUCGUGUUGUGAAAUGUUUGGUUAAAUCCUAUAACGGACGCAACCCCUUCGAAAUUUUUCAUUUGCUUUUUCGUAAUGCCCAUGAGAAGUGGGAGGAAGGUGGGGAUCACGUCAAGUCCUCAUGGCCCUUAUGGGUUGGGCUACAAAGGUGAUACAAUGGUAAUCACAAAGGGAUGCAAUGAUUUAAGUCGGAGCAAAUCCUAAAAAAUUAUCCUAGUUCGGAUUGGUCUCUGCAACUCGAGAUCAUGAAGCUGGAAUCACUAGUAAUCGUGGAUCAGCAUGCCACGGUGAAUCUGUUCUCGGGCUUUGUACACACCGCCCGUCACACCGGGGAAGUCGGGUUGAUCUAAAAAUCUUAAAUCUAUGAAUAGAAAGAAAACUUUUUCUUCUCUCUUUGUGAGAGUUUCUCUUCUUUCUAUUCUUAGGUCUUUAGGAACUAAGGCCAGCUUGGUAACUCUGGUGAAGUCGUAACAAGGUAGCCGUAGGGGAACCUGCGGCUGGACUGGCUCUUUU
rnacentral:rRNA from 1 species